GAUGAACGCUGGCGGCGUGCUUAACACAUGCAAGUCGAACGAAGCACUUUAACCUGAUUCUUCGGAUGAAGGUUUUUGUGACUGAGUGGCGGACGGGUGAGUAACGCGUGGGUAACCUGCCUCAUACAGGGGGAUAACAGUUAGAAAUGACUGCUAAUACCGCAUAAGACCACAGAGCCGCAUGGCUCGGUGGGAAAAACUCCGGUGGUAUGAGAUGGACCCGCGUCUGAUUAGGUAGCUGGUGGGGUAACGGCCUACCAAGCCAACGAUCAGUAGCCGACCUGAGAGGGUGACCGGCCACAUUGGGACUGAGACACGGCCCAAACUCCUACGGGAGGCAGCAGUGGGGAAUAUUGCACAAUGGGGGAAACCCUGAUGCAGCGACGCCGCGUGAGCGAAGAAGUAUUUCGGUAUGUAAAGCUCUAUCAGCAGGGAAGAAAAUGACGGUACCUGACUAAGAAGCACCGGCUAAAUACGUG
rnacentral:rRNA from 1 species